rnacentral:rRNA from 1 species
UGCGUAGGCGGAUCUUUAAGUCUGAGGUGAAAGUCUGUGGCUUAACCAUAGAAUUGCCUUGGAUACUGAGGAUCUUGAAUUGGGUUGAGGAUGGCGGAAUGUGACAUGUAGCGGUGAAAUGCAUAGAUAUGUCAUAGAACACCGAUUGCGAAGGCAGCCAUCUGGGCCUUGAUUGACGCUGAGGCACGAAAGCGUGGGGAGCGAACAGGAUUAGAUACCCUGGUAGUCC